rnacentral:rRNA from 1 species
UACGUAGGGUGCGAGCGUUAAUCGGAAUUACUGGGCGUAAAGCGUGCGCAGGCGGUUGUGUAAGACAGUUGUGAAAUCCCCGGGCUCAACCUGGGAAUUGCAUCUGUGACUGCACAGCUAGAGUACGGUAGAGGGGGAUGGAAUUCCGCGUGUAGCAGUGAAAUGCGUAGAUAUGCGGAGGAACACCGAUGGCGAAGGCAAUCCCCUGGACCUGUACUGACGCUCAUGCACGAAAGCUAGGGGAGCAAACGGG